CGAAUGCUGACAUAAGUAACGAUAAAGCGGGUGAAAAGCCCGCUCGCCGGAAGACCAAGGGUUCCUGUCCAACGUUAAUCGGGGCAGGGUGAGUCGACCCCUAAGGCGAGGCCGAAAGGCGUAGUCGAUGGGAAACAGGUUAAUAUUCCUGUACUUGGUGUUACUGCGAAGGGGGGACGGAGAAGGCUAUGUUGGCCGGGCGACGGUUGUCCCGGUUUAAGCGUGUAGGCUGGUUUUCCAGGCAAAUCCGGAAAAUCAAGGCUGAGGCGUGAUGACGAGGCACUACGGUGCUGAAGCAACAAAUGCCCUGCUUCCAGGAAAAGCCUCUAAGCAUCAGGUAACAUCAAAUCGUACCCCAAACCGACACAGGUGGUCAGGUAGAGAAUACCAAGGCGCUUGAGAGAACUCGGGUGAAGGAACUAGGCAAAAUGGUGCCGUAACUUCGGGAGAAGGCACGCUGAUAUGUAGGUGAAGUCCCUCGCGGAUGGAGCUGAAAUCAGUCGAAGAUACCAGCUGGCUGCAACUGUUUAUUAAAAACACAGCACUGUGCAAACACGAAAGUGGACGUAUACGGUGUGACGCCUGCCCGGUGCCGGAAGGUUAAUUGAUGGGGUCAGCGCAAGCGAAGCUCUUGAUCGAAGCCCCGGUAAACGGCGGCCGUAACUAUAACGGUCCUAAGGUAGCGAAAUUCCUUGUCGGGUAAGUUCCGACCUGCACGAAUGGCGUAAUGAUGGCCAGGCUGUCUCCACCCGAGACUCAGUGAAAUUGAACUCGCUGUGAAGAUGCAGUGUACCCGCGGCAAGACGGAAAGACCCCGUGAACCUUUACUAUAGCUUGACACUGAACAUUGAGCCUUGAUGUGUAGGAUAGGUGGGAGGCUUUGAAGUGUGGACGCCAGUCUGCAUGGAGCCGACCUUGAAAUACCACCCUUUAAUGUUUGAUGUUCUAACGUGGACCCGUGAUCCGGGUUGCGGACAGUGUCUGGUGGGUAGUUUGACUGGGGCGGUCUCCUCCUAAAGAGUAACGGAGGAGCACGAAGGUUGGCUAAUCCUGGUCGGACAUCAGGAGGUUAGUGCAAUGGCAUAAGCCAGCUUGACUGCGAGCGUGACGGCGCGAGCAGGUGCGAAAGCAGGUCAUAGUGAUCCGGUGGUUCUGAAUGGAAGGGCCAUCGCUCAACGGAUAAAAGGUACUCCGGGGAUAACAGGCUGAUACCGCCCAAGAGUUCAUAUCGACGGCGGUGUUUGGCACCUCGAUGUCGGCUCAUCACAUCCUGGGGCUGAAGUAGGUCCCAAGGGUAUGGCUGUUCGCCAUUUAAAGUGGUACGCGAGCUGGGUUUAGAACGUCGUGAGACAGUUCGGUCCCUAUCUGCCGUGGGCGCUGGAGAACUGAGGGGGGCUGCUCCUAGUACGAGAGGACCGGAGUGGACGCAUCACUGGUGUUCGGGUUGUCAUGCCAAUGGCACUGCCCGGUAGCUAAAUGCGGAAGAGAUAAGUGCUGAAAGCAUCUAAGCACGAAACUUGCCCCGAGAUGAGUUCUCCCUGACCCUUUAAGGGUCCUGAAG
rnacentral:rRNA from 1 species